GAUGAACGCUGGCGGCGUGCCUAAUACAUGCAAGUCGAGCGAACAGACGAGGAGCUUGCUCCUUCGACGUUAGCGGCGGACGUGUGAGUAACACGUAGGUAACCUACCUAUAAGACUGGGAUAACUUCGGGAAACCGGAGCUAAUACCGGAUAAUAUUUCGAACCGCAUGGUUCGAUAGUGAAAGAUGGCUUUGCUAUCACUUAUAGAUGGACCUGCGCCGUAUUAGCUAGUUGGUAAGGUAACGGCUUACCAAGGCAACGAUACGUAGCCGACCUGAGAGGGUGAUCGGCCACACUGGAACUGAGACACGGUCCAGACUCCUACGGGAGGCAGCAGUAGGGAAUCUUCCGCAAUGGGCGAGAGCCUGACGGAGCAACGCCGCGUGAGUGAUGAAGGUCUUCGGAUCGUAAAACUCUGUUAUUAGGGAAGAACAAACGUGUAAGUAGCUGUGCACGUCUUGACGGUACCUAAUCAGAAAGCCACGGCUAACUACGUG
rnacentral:rRNA from 1 species